rnacentral:rRNA from 1 species
ACGCUGGCGGCAGGCCUAACACAUGCAAGUCGAGCGGUAGAGAGAAGCUUGCUUCUCUUGAGAGCGGCGGACGGGUGAGUAAUGCCUAGGAAUCUGCCUGGUAGUGGGGGAUAACGUUCGGAAACGGACGCUAAUACCGCAUACGUCCUACGGGAGAAAGCAGGGGACCUUCGGGCCUUGCGCUAUCAGAUGAGCCUAGGUCGGAUUAGCUAGUUGGUGAGGUAAUGGCUCACCAAGGCGACGAUCCGUAACUGGUCUGAGAGGAUGAUCAGUCACACUGGAACUGAGACACGGUCCAGACUCCUACGGGAGGCAGCAGUGGGGAAUAUUGGACAAUGGGCGAAAGCCUGAUCCAGCCAUGCCGCGUGUGUGAAGAAGGUCUUCGGAUUGUAAAGCACUUUAAGUUGGGAGGAAGGGUUGUAGUUUAAUACUCUGCAAUUUUGACGUUACCGACAGAAUAAGCACCGGCUAACUCUGUGCCAGCAGCCGCGGUAAUACGGAGCGUGCAAGCGUUAAUCGGAAUUACUGGGCGUAAAGCGCGCGUAGGUGGUUUGUUAAGUUGGAUGUGAAAUCCCCGGGCUCAACCUGGGAACUGCAUUCAAAACUGACUGACUAGAGUAUGGUAGAGGGUGGUGGAAUUUCCUGUGUAGCGGUGAAAUGCGUAGAUAUAGGAAGGAACACCAGUGGCGAAGGCGACCACCUGGACUAAUACUGACACUGAGGUGCGAAAGCGUGGGGAGCAAAC